rnacentral:lncRNA from 1 species
GGAUGGCCUUGGGCUGCAUCUGGCUCCCCCAACUGCUUUUUCUCACAUCUGGGGCUUGACCGCAGAGGUGGCCAGUGAAACUUUCUCCCAGGCUCCUUUCCCACCACUCUCACUCCUUGCGCUUUCUACCUUGACAGCAGGCCCAGAAUUACAACUUGUACCAGCCUCCCACACUCUUGAGAAACUUGGAUGCAGCUACUCUGGGCUGAAUCAGAAAGCACGUGAGGCCAUGAUGCCCUAUGACUCCCUAAGGGGAAAUGGAGGGUGCAUCGAGGCUGAGCCCAGGGACCUCCAUGGAUACCCUCCUGUCUCCAAGGAAAUUAGUCACUGUCCUUUCCUCCUCGGGCGUCUCACUCUCCCUAUUUGCCCUGCACCAAGGAGUUUCUCAAAACACAGGACUUUUCAAUGUUAAAACCAGAAUAGUCCUCCUCGCUCCGGAGAGGCUCUUGGGGUCCGCAGAUGACUUCCUCUGGGAUGCUGACUACUUCUUGUCUAGGUAUCAGCCACUGCUUUGAGACAGAAAUGGGGCCUUAGUCUUCCUUUUUCCUCCAAGACUCACAGAGUGACUGCUGAAUGACAAAACGAACAAACAUAUUAAUGACUAUGUGCAAGUCCUUAUCAGACCUUGCCUUCUGCCUGACGUGGCCACAAGACACAGAGGGCAGUGAGCCUGUCCUAACACCUGCACUACUCUGGGCAGACUGUCACCUGACCACCCACGUAGACCUUCUGAUGUGGAAGGGAGGCCUGGCUUGUGCUGCCUGCCCCGAGCCUGGUGUCAGGAACACCCAGACUGAGCCCCGCUGUUAAACCCAUUCACUCCUCAAAGCGGUCACACUGGAAAGAAGGAGAACCCAGAAAUGCAAAUUCUUGGGUCUAAGGUCCAUCAAGAUCUGAAAAUAAAAAAGGAACUUAGGUCAGAGCAGAACCAAGGGGAAAACUGGAAAUUGAAAUUGAAUAACUAUACCAUAAAACCCAGAUUAGAGGAAGUUAAUUUUUUUCUUUUUCUUUCUUUCUUUUUUUUUUUUUUUUUUGGUCUUUUUAGGGCCACACCCUUGGCAGUGACCUGUCUAGACCCUCAGGGGGCCCUGGCAGAAAGGGUGGCCUCUUCAUGGCUGGGCUACUGGGAGUCUCAGGCUACCAUCUAAUCUAAGGGAAAUCUAAGGGAGCCACACCAGCCACACCUGCCACACCUGCGCAGGUACCUGCCCAUCCCCGUGCCCUUCUGAGGCAUCCAGUGUCAGAAACAUGAGCUGGCUUAUUCCUCCAUGACUUAAAUUCUCCCCUCCUGAAGUGGAUUAAGUGACAGGAAAUCUUUUUGUUCACUCACCUGUCUAUAUACGUUGCGGGGGGAAAAGGAGGUUUAUGUGGCCCAGGUUUCUGAACACCCAGAGACUGGAAAGUUCUAAAGAGAGGCCACUGCUUAAGAGGAGCAUUCUACCUCUCCUCCUCAUCCCAAUCAUCCUGUUUGACUCAUGGUCAGAAGCCUUUUAUUCAACUGGAGGUGUUAUAAAAUCUCAGAUGAAUGAGUUCUAUGAGUUAAGAUUUAAACUGUAUUGGAAAUGGCUGAAAACACUUUUUGAAUCAUGGAUACAAAUAAAACUUUGUUUUUUGAGGAAAAGCUUAGAAUUUUUGUAAAAGGCAAUUUUAAAUCCAAAAUAAAGAACGGUGCUGUGGAAGAAAAUGUGGAAAAGAAGUUGUUACUAGAUUCAAGGCGAGCUUUCAAAAAUAAAGAUUUCAGAGUUCCUGCUGUGACGCAGUGGGUUGAGGAUAUGGUGUUGCUGUAGCUGGGGCUCAGAUUCGAUCCCUGGCCCAGGAACUUCUAUAUGCCUCCACUUUGUACCCCCCCACACACACCAAAAAAAGAUAUCUAUCCCAUUCUUUUGGUUAAGGAUAAGCCAAAAUAAAAAAGGAAACCCUUCCCUUCAUAUUUCUUAGCUCUGUUGGCAUUAUUUUCUUCCAAGAUUUCCACAAGAUUCUUUUUUUUUGAAGUCAUAUUUAUUGAGAUGUGCAAUUCUAUGAAUUUUGACAAACAUAUGCAGCCAUGUAACCAGUACCACCACAUUGAUAAAAUAUCUCCAUCACCCUAAAAAGUCUCUUUUGCUCACAGUACUCUGAAUCCUUUACUAUGAGUGUAAGAUGAAGUCAUCUGCAUACAUAACUCAGAAUUCUUGAAUUUAGAAAAUUAAUCUGUCAUUUUGUUAUUUAUUUAUUUAUUUUGUCUUUUUAGGGCCAUACCUAAGGCACAUGGAAGUUUCCAGGCUAGGGGUCGAAUCAGAGCUGCAGCUGCCAGCCUACACCACAGCCACAGCAUCGCAGGAUCUGAGCUGUGUCUGGGACCUAUACCACACUCACCGCAAUGCUAGAUCCUUAACCCACUGAGCAAGGCCAGGCAUCGAACCUGCAUCCUCACGUAUACUAGUUGGAUUCAUUACUAUUGAGCCACAAUGGGACCUCCAAUCUCAACCAUUUUAUUUUAUUUUAUUUUAGUCUUUUUAGGGCCACACCUGUGGCAUAUGGAGGUUCCUAGGCUAGGGGUAGAAUCAGAGCUGUAGCUGCUGGGCCUAUGCCACAGUCACACCAAUGUCAGAUCUGAGCAGCAUCUGCAACCUACAGCUCAUAGCAAUGCCAGUUCCUUAACCCACUGAGUGAAGCCAGGGAUCGAACCUGCAUCCUCAUGGAUGCUAGUCAGAUUCUGCUGGGCCAGGAGGGGAACUCAUUUUCUAGGGCUGCUCCCGAGGCAUAUGGAGGUUCCCAGGCUAGGGGUCUAAUCAGAGCUGUAGCUGCCGGCCUACGCCGGAGCCACAGCAACUCGGGAUCCAAGCCACGCCUGCAACCUACACCACAGCUCACGGCAACGCCAGAUCCUUAACCCACUGAGCAAAGCCAGGGAUCGAACCCACAACUGUAUGGUUCCUAGUCGGAUUCGUUAACCACUGAGCCACGACGGGAACUCCUGAAUCUCGGUCAUUUUAGAUGCGACUCAUCCCAAAAAAGAAGUUGCCAGUUCCAAACUGACUAUAAAUGAACUCACUUCUGGUGACACAUGGACCAGAUAAGUAAACCUAGGGAUUUUAACCAAAUGACAUUCUUUUUUUUUUUUUUUUUUUUGCCAUUUCUAGGACCGCUCCCACGGCAUAUGGAGGUUCCCAGGCUAGGGGUCUAGUCGGAGCUGUAGACACUGGCCUACGCCAGGGCCACAGCAACUUGGGAUCCAAGCCAUGUCUGCAACCUACACCACAGCUCGUGGCAGCGCUGGAUCCUUAACCCAUUGAGUGAGGCCAGGGAUCAAACCCACAACCUCAUGGUUCCUAGUCGGAUUCACUAACCACUGAACCAUAAUGGGAACUCCCCAAAAGACAUUCUUAUGUAAAGUUUAGUGUAAUAACUUGACAGUACCUGGUUCAUUUAUAUGACUUAAGUAAAUUCAAACUAUUAUAUAGGAAUGUUCCCAGUGAGAAUAUUCAGUAGACGUGUUUACACAUUAUCCUGUCAAGGAAGAGCCUUCUUUUGAAAUAUAGUUACUACACACAGUAUUUCACAAAUUGUAGCUCUAGUCAUUAUGCUUUAAUAGAAAAUAUGUUCUAUAUAAAGGAAGUAAAUCUCUGAACAAAGUCUAAUUAAUUCAGAACACAAAGUAGAAAUAAAGAACCAUAAAUAGUAAACAGUAGAUUUUAAGUAAACUGAAAAAGAAUUACACUGCGCUCUCAUUCUUUGCAGUAGUUUGGUUCUAUAACGUUAUGUCCAGCACUGAAUUAGCAAAUACUGAACUAUUUCUCCUGGAGAAAAUAUAAGGCUAUGUCCCUGCAGCUUCUGGUCACAUUUCCAACGACUGAUCAAUAAAUAACCUUGUUCUGUGUCUGUUUCUGUUUAAAGACAUCAGCUUAAUAUAUAUUAUUGAUUCAUUAACAUUGAACUUACAGCUGACAGCAUUAUAAUUUAUGUCUGAAUGAAGCUUAUCUAACACAUGUAUUCUCUCUGCAGAGCACAUCAUAUCCUUCCUGGGCUUUGGCACACUUCGGAGAAUUUCAUACUAUACUUGGGGUCACUUUACACACAAAAUCACCAAUAAAAUAUUAAGCAUGUGAAAAAUGGCACUAUAUAGACAGUGGAAAGGACAUCUGUCUACUAUAUAAAGGCUGAAUUGGAAGGCAGAGUGUCAUCUUAUUUGAGCUCAGCUGGGAAUGUGCACAUCUCUCUGUCUCUAAGUGUCUCUGUAUUUUUUUUCUUUGCCUCAUUGUGCAGUGGCUUGAUGUGGGAUCUCAGUUGCCAGACCAGGGACUGAACCCAAUCCGCAGCAGUAAAAGCAUCAAAAUCCUAACCAGUAGACCACCAGAGAACUCCUAUCUCUCUGUACUUAGAUUUAGCAAGAUGUUUAUUAAUGUAAUUUCCUAGCAUUGCUUUUCAUCUCUCAUUCAAUUUCCAUCUUUCUAGGUUAGUCUCCUUUUUCUUUGAUUAUACCAGUUAAUAUUUCUUUCAGUUAGAAUCCCUGAGUAAUAAACUUUAAGUUGUUGAAUACCUGAAAAAAUAUAUUUUUAGAAUACUUUUUUUUUUUUUUUUAAGGGCUACACCUUCAGCAUAUGGAAAUUCCCAGGCUAGGAGUCAAAUCUGAGCUGCAGCUGCUGGCCUACAUUGAAUCCACAGCAAUGCCAUAUCCUUAACCCACUGAAUGAAGCUAAGGAUCAAACCCGAAUCCUCAUGGAUACUAGUUGUGUUAGUUACUGCUGAGCCACAAUGGGAACACCCAAGAAUACUUUUGGGGUUUUUUAAUUUAUUUUUGCUUUUGAGGGCCAUGCCAGAAGCAUAUGGAAGUUCUCAGGGUAGGGGUUGAAUUGGAGCGACAACUGCUGGCCUACACCACAGCCACAGCAACACAGGAUCUGAGCCUCGUCUGCCAUCUACACCACAGCUUAUGGCAACGCCAGAUCCCCAACCCACUGAGCAAGGCCAGGGACUGACCCCGCAUCCUCAUGGAUACUAGUUGGAUUCAUUUCCGGCCUACGCUACAGCCACAGCAACUCGGGAUCCAAGCAGCUUCUGUGACCUAUACCACAGCUCAUAGCAACACCUUGACCCACUGAGCAAGGCCUGGGACCCUCCAUAAGCCUCGGGGGUGGCC